UACGUAGGGGGCGAGCGUUGUCCGGAUUUAUUGGGCGUAAAAGGAGCUCGUAGGCGGUUACGAUAAGUCGGACGUGAAAUCUCCAACGCUCAACGUGGAGGGGCCGUUCGAUACUGUCGUGACUCGAGUCCGGUAGGGGAGUGUGGAAUUCCCGGGUGUAGCGGUGAAAUGCGCAGGAGAUCGGGAGGAACACCCGUAGCGAAGGCGGCACUCUGGGCCGGUACUGACGCUGAGGAGCGAAAGCGGUGGGGAGCAAACAGG
rnacentral:rRNA from 1 species